GAGAGAGAGAGAGAGAGAGAGAGAGAGAGAGAGAGAGAGAGAGAGAGAGAGAGAGCACUCUGGAGCAGCAGUUCCAGGAGUUAUGAACCAUUUGAUGUGGGUUCUGGGAACUAAACGUAUGCCCUCUUCAAGGACAGAGAGUACUCUUAAUUACUGGGCCAUCCAUCCAUCCAGCCCCCCAAAAUUUCUUUUUUGAGUCAAAAUCUCAGUAUGUAGCCCAGGCUUGCAUGAAACUCUCAGCAAUCCUCCUGCCUCAAUAUCCUGAGUGCUGAGAUUACAGGUAUGAACUACCAUACACAGCUAAAAGAAUAUGUUUAGACUUCUGACUUUUUUUCCUUUCUUUCUUUUUCCUGUGUUGGACAUUGAACCCAGCUCAGUUGGUUGGUUUGUUGGUUGGUUGGUUACUUUUUAUUUUGAGAAAUAGUCUUGUUAUGUUACCCAGGCUACCGUUACACUUGAAUUCUCCUUCCUCUGUCUCCUGAGUAACUGGAUUAUAAACCUAUGCCACAAAGCCCAGUUAAACUCUGGGCAUCUUAAAUCCUGACAGGAAAAUCAGGCCCAGCACCUUACCAAACACCUUCAUCUGGACCUGGAAGUGAAGGACAACUAACAUUGACAUGGGGACCCGUCACCUGAGCAUCUGCUUCUGGAAACAAGGAGAUGAUGGAUUUCCAUGCUCCAGGCUAUGAGGAAACUUCAAGGUCAUGUUAUCCAACAGGCUCUUGGUGCCUAGAACAGAAGACACUCUCCAUAAAGGAUGCUACCUUAUCAUUACAGGGUAGAGCCCUGUGUGGUGUUAUCUAAGGAACCCAGCCAGCUUCCCUCCCUCUGCCUCCACUGACCUGGCUGUUUCCUUUACUUCGUGGCAUUUCACUAUUAGCAGGUGCUCAGGGCCACCUAUCCUCAUCUUCCCAGUCUGUUCCACAGUGAACAGAAGCUGGAUAUGUCCCAGGGGCUGUCACCUUCCAGAACUGCUCUUCUGGCUGUACUGGGGCCUGGUGGUAGAGCUUGGGAUAUCAGUCCACCCCACACCCUUGUUCUGCACAUAGAAGUGACUAGGCUUGGGUCACACCGGGGGACAGAGGCUUUGGAUGCAUCCCCCUGGGUGCCACUGAACUUCUUAACCCUGAGAUGGCAGGGUCUUGGAGGAGGUGGUGGGGUACUGGCAGGAAAGGUCUGGAAACUAACUUGCAGGUGAGAAGCAGGAGAUGGAAAACACACUUAGACAUGAAACCACCAGCCAGGAUUGGAAUUUGUCCAAUUUUGCCUCUACCCCACUGCUGGGCUCAUGUUCAGAGAGUUUGCUCAGGACUGAGUAUGUGAAGAGGCUGAAUUAGCUAAGAUAAGAGGCUACGCCUCGGAGGGCCGCGGCAACUGUGUGCCUGGCCAGGGCCUGGGGGACAGAGCUCAAUGGCCCACGGGAUGGACACAGGGGAAGGAACCUGGGGACACCUGAGUGAGAGCUUGUGACCCAGGUUCUUCUCCAAGAGUUGGGGACACAAGGUUCUCUCUUCCCAGAUGGAAGGCCUGAGAAGGGGUGUUUCUGGGGAUUCACAGCUGCUCUCCUACCCAACCUCUACACUCACCUCCCAGUUCUGAGAGAGGAGCAGCCAUGGGCCUGGCAGCUAUCCCAGUGCCACAGGAGCCCCUGGCGCCACACACUGGUUCUGGAACAUAAAGAUAUCCUCCUGUACUUCUGACCUCCCCGUCUGUGGAGACAGGGAGGAGUUGGUAAACAGCACCCAGAGAUCUCUAUGAACAGUAUCUUUGCUUCUUGUAUCUGAACCUCUGCUUAUCUCUAUUCUGACUCAUAUGUAUGUAAACAACAUUACAAGAGAAAGUAAAAGAUUCCAAUAAACCACAACAUCUCUACUCAUCA